AUUGAACGCUGGCGGCAGGCCUAACACAUGCAAGUCGAACGAGUGGCGGACGGGUGAGUAAUGUCUGGGAAACUGCCUGAUGGAGGGGGAUAACUACUGGAAACGGUAGCUAAUACCGCAUACCAUCGGAUGUGCCCAGAUGGGAUUAGCUAGUAGGUGGGGUAAAGGCUCACCUAGGCGACGAUCCCUAGCUGGUCUGAGAGGAUGACCAGCCAAGCUGGAACUGAGACAGGGUCCAGACUCCUACGGGAGGCAGCAGUGGGUAAUAUGGCAAUGUGGGCGCAAGCCUGAUGCAGCCAUGCCGCGUGUAUGAAGAAGGCCGUCGGGUUGUAAAUUACUUUCAGCGGGGAGGCGUUACCCGCAGAAGAAGCACCGGCUAACUCCGUGCCAGCAGCCGCGGUAAUU
rnacentral:rRNA from 1 species